rnacentral:rRNA from 1 species
AGCGAACGCUGGCGGCAGGCCUAUCACAUGCAAGUCGAACGAAGUCUUCGGACUUAGUGGCGGACGGGUGAGUAACACGUGGGAACGUGCCUUUAGGUUCGGAAUAACUCAGGGAAACUUGUGCUAAUACCGAAUGUGCCCUGCGGGGGAAAGAUUUAUCGCCUUUAGAGCGGCCCGCGUCUGACUAGCUAGUUGGUGGGGUAAUGGCCCACCAAGGCUACGAUCAGUAGCUGGUCUGAGAGGAUGACCAGCCACAUUGGGACUGAGACACGGCCCAAACUCGUACGGGCGGCAGCGGUGGGGAAUCUUGCGCAAUGGGCGAAAGCCUGACGCAGCCAUGCCGCGUGGAUGAUGAAGGUCUUAGGAUUGUAAAAUCCUUUCACCGGUGAAGAUAAUGACGGUAGCCGGAGAAGAAGCCCCGGCUAACUUCGUGCCAGCAGCCGCAGUAAAAC